AGCUAAGUGGCUCAGUGGAUAGAGCACCAGCCUUGAAAUCAGGAGGACCAUAGUUCAAAUCUGGUCUCAGAUA
rfam:Sarcophilus harrisii ctg7180002432905, whole genome shotgun sequence.